rnacentral:rRNA from 1 species
ACAUGCAGUCGAGCGGUAGCACAGAGAGCUUGCUCUCGGGUGACGAGCGGCGGACGGGUGAGUAAUGUCUGGGAAACUGCCUGAUGGAGGGGGAUAACUACUGGAAACGGUAGCUAAUACCGCAUAACGUCGCAAGACCAAAGUGGGGGACCUUCGGGCCUCAUGCCAUCAGAUGUGCCCAGAUGGGAUUAGCUAGUAGGUGGGGUAACGGCUCACCUAGGCGACGAUCCCUAGCUGGUCUGAGAGGAUGACCAGCCACACUGGAACUGAGACACGGUCCAGACUCCUACGGGAGGCAGCAGUGGGGAAUAUUGCACAAUGGGCGCAAGCCUGAUGCAGCCAUGCCGCGUGUGUGAAGAAGGCCUUCGGGUUGUAAAGCACUUUCAGCGGGGAGGAAGGCGAUAAGGUUAAUAACCUUGUCGAUUGACGUUACCCGCAGAAGAAGCACCGGCUAACUCCGUGCCAGCAGCCGCGGUAAUACGGAGGGUGCAAGCGUUAAUCGGAAUUACUGGGCGUAAAGCGCACGCAGGCGGUCUGUCAAGUCGGAUGUGAAAUCCCCGGGCUCAACCUGGGAACUGCAUUCGAAACUGGCAGGCUAGAGUCUUGUAGAGGGGGGUAGAAUUCCAGGUGUAGCGGUGAAAUGCGUAGAGAUCUGGAGGAAUACCGGUGGCGAAGGCGGCCCCCUGGACAAAGACUGACGCUCAGGUGCGAAAGCGUGGGGAGCAAACAGGAUUAGAUACCCUGGUAGUCCACGCCGUAAACGAUGUCGAUUUGGAGGUUGUGCCCUUGAGGCGUGGCUUCCGGAGCUAACGCGUUAAAUCGACCGCCUGGGGAGUACGGCCGCAAGGUUAAAACUCAAAUGAAUUGACGGGGGCCCGCACAAGCGGUGGAGCAUGUGGUUUAAUUCGAUGCAACGCGAAGAACCUUACCUGGUCUUGACAUCCACAGAACUUAGCAGAGAUGCUUUGGUGCCUUCGGGAACUGUGAGACAGGUGCUGCAUGGCUGUCGUCAGCUCGUGUUGUGAAAUGUUGGGUUAAGUCCCGCAACGAGCGCAACCCUUAUCCUUUGUUGCCAGCGGUUCGGCCGGGAACUCAAAGGAGACUGCCAGUGAUAAACUGGAGGAAGGUGGGGAUGACGUCAAGUCAUCAUGGCCCUUACGACCAGGGCUACACACGUGCUACAAUGGCAUAUACAAAGAGAAGCGACCUCGCGAGAGCAAGCGGACCUCAUAAAGUAUGUCGUAGUCCGGAUUGGAGUCUGCAACUCGACUCCAUGAAGUCGGAAUCGCUAGUAAUCGUAGAUCAGAAUGCUACGGUGAAUACGUUCCCGGGCCUUGUACACACCGCCCGUCACACCAUGGGAGUGGGUUGCAAAAGAAGUAGGUAGCUUAACCUUCGGGAGGGCGCUUACC